GCCAACCUUGAGAGCCGAGAGUCUGGACAGCGGAGUCAUCAAACCUCACCAAAGAUGAAGAAGGCUUUUGUGCUAGCAUGCAUUCUCUUCGUCUCCAUGACUCCGCUCUGCCUUCCUGCCGCUAAAGCUGGAAGACUGCUACUUCAGACAGGGUACAGUGAGCCGGGCACACCAGGAUGGCCUGGUCCGGGUGUAGGAGGAUCGUCCGGCACACCCUAUGUACCACGAGACCCGAUUCCGUACGGGGAGCCGCCGUGUGUCCGUACGCGUACUUGCCGUCCAUAAACUAGCAGCAAUACAGCGCCGUGAGGCCGAGAAGGCCAUGUUCUGGACGGCCGUUGUCAUGCACUACAUACGUAAUUCGUUUAGUCGAUACAGUGUGCGAUGCUGCCGGCUAGUUAUUGAAUAAAUGGAUGAGCCGGAGCCGCGAAUUAUCAAUGCUUGGUACAAUGCAUUAUCUGUUAGCUUAAGGCAAGUCGGUUUUACAGAUAUAAUUGGAUAUCUUAUGUAUGUGACUUCUCCUUUGAAAGAGCACCCUUAUUUAUAGAGACAUAUUGAAGAAUAAAAUCCUACUUCGACAAUAUCUCCGUU